UUAUGAGCGUGCAAAGGUCACAUGACCACUCUUCUUCCUCUUUCGUGGCGACCUGGUCGACGUCCUGUACGGAUUUCUGACUCGUCCACCGUGGCAAAGUGUUCAGAGGAGGGAGUUUACUGUAACACCACAAAGCAUCACAUGGAUCUUCAGUCUGGCAGCGUGAGCAGAAGUACGUCAUCCUGUUAUCGCUCCCCAACCGACACGUGGUGACGGCACAUCUGCAUUGACCACAGCUGGAGCGCUUAUACACCUUACAGUGCUUACUGAGCGCCGCGCCCCUUUUACGACACUGACGGAGAAGAAAAGCGUUUAAAGAUCUGCAUCAGAAACUCUACCAGUGUUAAUGUCACAAAAUCCCGAGUCGCUGCUGCAGUGUUCAAUUAUUUACAGAUCACAGUGUGAUAAUUAAAGCUUCGAUCAGGCAGGAAAUGACAUCACCUGAUAAAAGAGAAGUGAGAAUUCUCGAGUCAUUUUCACCAGGUGCUGGACGAGUUCCACCUUCAGCUGAUUCACCUGCGCGCACACACACACACACCAUUUUCUCACGUUAAUCACGCACAUUAUCAAUUAUAAACAUGUUAAUCCUUAAAUAACUGGAUUUAUUAUUAUUAUUAUUAUUAUUAUUAUUACAGGUCGACCGAUUUAUCGGUUUUCUGAUUAAUUGGCACCGAUAUUUAAAUGCUGGACCUACUGACAAAAAUCUAUAUCGAUAGUUUUUCCAGGUUGCUGGAACAGCUGAAGGUUCACACACAGUGAUACUGAUAUCACGUGCUGUUUGUUGGUGGCUUUAAUUUAUUUUGGAUGGAUGGAACUGGUUUUAUUUAUUUGGAUUUUUACUGUUCGUUUCAGUUUGAACUUUUAUUUUCUUCAGUAUUAAUUAAUAUAAUUCACAUUUAUAUCCUUUAACAUAUUCUCAUGAUUCAGUACCGCUUUUUAUUUUUGUAAUAAAGAUCAGUACUAUUUUACA